rnacentral:lncRNA from 1 species
GUCUCAAGUCCCACCCAUUUUACCUUGAUGACAGAGGUAGGCAGGCUUUAUGUGCUAAGCACUUGAGGGGUUCUCCUCUACUUCCUUAGCAUAAGUUGGUGUAUCUCCUCCCUCUUAACUGCUUCUCUGAGUCAGUUCAGACCUCCAGGGGCCAAGUUCUCAUCAGUACCUCCGUAGCCCCUUCCAGGCCACCUCUGUACCAGCAUUUGGAAGAGAGAAGUUUGGGCUCAUGGACCUUUGUAGGUCAAUGGAGAGAAAGAUGUAAGACAGCAACACAUCUGGGGCCUGGCUGAGGAGGCCCAGAUCAGUAAUCCCUGGAAGGAGGAGAGGACCCAGGAGAGAAGACAGGAGAAAGAAAUCCCAGUGAGAGCCUUAAGUGCCAGCCAAAAAAGGUGCCAAAAGCAGUACCCUUGGGAAGCCCUCAAGGAUCCGUGCCAGUGAGAAGGGUUCAUAAGAGACUUUGCCCUCACUGGUGUCCUGGAUUGGAAGCAGCCACUAGGAUAAUCUGUGGUAUUCAGGUAAUAUUAAGAUGAAUCUUGUUGGUACUUCCCCACAUCUGACUGCAUGAUCCUUUCCCUCCUUUUUUCCUUCUUUCCAUCUCUGCCACUUUUAUUCCUCCCCUCCCUUUUUCUCCUUCCUCCUUCUUGAC